rnacentral:rRNA from 1 species
GAUGAACGCUAGCUACAGGCUUAACACAUGCAAGUCGAGGGGUAACGAGAGGAAAGCUUGCUUUCCUUGUCGACGACCGGCGCACGGGUGAGUAACGCGUAUCCAACCUGCCCCCAACUAAGGAAUAACCUUGCGAAAGUAAGACUAAUACCUUAUAAUUUCCUCAGAUGUCAUCUGACGAGGAAUAAAGAUUUAUCGGUUGUGGAUGGGGAUGCGUGUGAUUAGUUUGUUGGCGGGGUAACGGACCACCAAGGCAACGAUCAGUAGGGGUUCUGAGAGGAAGGUCCCCCACAUUGGAACUGAGACACGGUCCAAACUCCUACGGGAGGCAACAGUGAGGAAUAUUGGGCAAUGGGCGGAAGCCUGAACCAGCCAAGUAGCGUGCAGGAUGACGGCCCUAUGGGUUGUAAACUGCUUUUAUACAGGAAUAAAGUUAGCCACGUGUGGUUAUUUGUAGGUACUGUAUGAAUAAGGACCGGCUAAUUCCGUGCCAGCAGCCGCCGUAA